rnacentral:rRNA from 1 species
UACGUAGGGGGCAAGCGUUGUCCGGAUUUAUUGGGCGUAAAGAGCGUGUAGGCGGCUAGGUAGGUCCGUUGUGAAAACUCGAGGCUCAACCUCGAGACGUCGAUGGAAACCAUCUAGCUAGAGUCCGGAAGAGGAGAGUGGAAUUCCUGGUGUAGCGGUGAAAUGCGCAGAUAUCAGGAGGAACACCGGUGGCGAAGGCGGCUUGCUGGGCCUUACCUGACGCUGAGGAGCGAAAGCGUGGGGAGCGAACAGG